ensembl:ncRNA Antisense transcript initiated from the 3' end of the IME4 locus; expressed in haploids and interferes with IME4 expression through a cis-acting mechanism; RME2 expression is repressed by
CCCGCUGCAGUCUUUUUUAUGACCAUCUUUUUUAUGCAAUGCUAUUAAUGUUUAAAAGGAUUAUUUAACGCUUUACUGAGCAAAAUAUAGGUUAUUUAGUGUUUGGAAUUGUUGUUUUUGUUGCUGUUUGGAUUCAAAGGGAGUAUGUUUUUGAUUCAUAGGAUUCUGCUUGGCCUCAGCAUAAUACUUACCACUCCCCAUAUCCAUAUUAUUCCAAUACUGCUGCUGAUGCUGCUGCUGUAAUUUUGAAGGUUGCUUUUUGUCGAUUUUUUUAGUACCAGUGUGGCUGGUUCCAGUUUUGCUCUUCAUAAACUCCUGGUACUUCCUCUCGACAUCCAUUUCGUAAAUGCAAUUUCCUGUCAACUGGUUUCCGAUGGUAAACCAGCCAGGCCGCGUAUUGUGAUCCCUUCCGAAUAUCUCUAGUUUUCUGGCAUGGGUGCCUGCCAACCGUUCUGCUAUACCAUACAGUUCAUCAGGCUUUCUACUAGUCUCUCUGGUCAUUGAUACGAUCAAAUCGACGUCAAUAUGUUUGUUGAUCCACUUUGGAUUACCCUUUAAGCCCACCAAUAAAUGCUCCUUAGAAUGAUUUAACCAAUGACCCGUACGACCUGUAACAAUUGUUCUACCCAGUUGGUUUGUCUUUAUCCAUGAAACUUCAUUUAUCACGUUGUAACCCCAGUUAUUCAAAGACUCUUUACCCAAUUCUAUAGCUCUACCCGUCACCCAAAGAAAAAUAAUACCUUCAUCUUGUAGUUCGUGCAAAGGCAAACCUAAUAGUUCAAUAUCGUUGCAAGUACCGUAUGGUAGGUUCAUAUGGAUAUUCCAUGCAGGAUCUGCAAUAACUACCGAAAACUUUCCAAGAACCCUAAAAUCAAAUUUCCGCACAUCGCAACGGAUCCACUGUGCAGGUAAAGCCUUUUUGAUACAAUGUGCGGAGCAAUUGCCCAGAGUAUAAAAUGGAAUGGAAACGUUUGACCGUAUUCUUUUAUUUUCACUCGCAGUUUCACGAUCAGCUCGCUCUUGCAAGCAUGACGGAAUAUAUUGCAGGUAAUGAAUGUAUCGACACGUAUUUAAUUUAUGACAGGUAUCCAAAUAGGAACAAUCUCCUAACGAAAUAUCAGUUUGUGGUUUGAUAUUAGGGAUAAAGUGAAUUUUUGAUUGAAUGCACUCAAUUAAUCCUGGGUGAUUUUCCUGACAUGCGGAUAUUUUGGACCAUUGUAAAGAAACGAUUUUGUUAUUGACAAUGUACACCGAGGUGGACAAUAGAGAUGCAUGCGAAUAGUCACUACAUAUCGGGAUGUAUUCAAUGACCUCGGUCGUGUAUUUGGCUCUUUCUUUAGCAAGCUGAAAAGAUGAUGGUUUUUCCCUCAAUAAAUUUUGUAAGCGAUUGCUCAGUUGUUCACGUGGUAACCCCUGGUUGCUGACGUUAACGUCCCAGUUCAGGACUCCAAGCAGUCUACCCAGCAGUUGGUCUUUUUCCGAAUCAGCUUCCGGUUUUGUUGUUAAACUCGACACUUUUUCUUCACAUGAAGAACUGGACGAUUUUAAUGUAUAGUAGAAGGCAUGGAACUUGUUAUAGAGAAUUUUCAAGGAAAAAACGUCCAGGUAAACAAUUUUUUCUGGCCUAUCUGCCACUAAUAGAUUCUGGUCAAAUUGAAUGGACUGCGGCGUUGCAAAUAUAAUAUCCUGAAGAUCAUUCCAAAACUGUUCAAACUGUAAGACCUCGUCUUUAUCGUUUCUCAACUUCUGCAUCUCAUCAUCGUAUCCGCCACUGAUGUACAGUGAAUACACAUCUUUGAGCUGUCCAGAAAGCGGUGCUCUUAGGAUGUCAUCAUAAUUCUGGAUCAGAAAAUGUACUAGUUUAUCGUUAAUCAUAGCCUGCUUACAACUUUUAUGAAUUCAAGUCUGAAUGCCAAUUCUUAUUUUUUUCGAAAACCCCCAAUGCUAACUUAUAUGGUCCGUUUUCUUUACUGUUAUCCAUCUCCCUUUCCUAUAGCUCCAGCGGUUACCGAUCUUCCAGAAUGCCGGGGAGAUCUUUCUCUUUCUUUGUUUAUAACAAGUUUCACAAGCACGAAAGAAAGAACAAUACUGUACGCCAAAAGCCGCCUAAAGACGCAUAUUCCCGUCAAUUUAUGUGACCGGUACCACUAUAUACCUAAGGCACCUCUAUACCAAUGUAGAAUGCCCUGUUUAUACUCUAUAUAGAGGAUUCUCGAUGUUCUU